UCUAGCUAUGAGUCUUUUAGCUUUGCUGUUGCUAUACUGUCAGAUUCAGAACGGAGUGUGCUUAGACUUGGGCAUAGUGAACACGUGGUGUUCUGAUCCCGUUUAUAAAUAUUGACAAAGGACACACGAAAUAUACAAACUUAGCACAAGAUUGUUGUCCAAUAUGUGGAGAAGCAGAAAACCUGGCAAAAAAAGUUUGAAAUCUGUUAAAGCUUUAGUAUUCUAGAAGAAGUGCAUGGAGCUAAUAAAAUUCAAGAAAUGGAAUGUGACGAAGUUUGACUCAGAUCAAUGAGGAUGAAUAAAAAGAGCAAAACCCUUCUUCUAUUUUCUAUAUGCAUCUACACCGAUUCUUUUAAUCCGAACACCCUCACACCCCUCACAGAGUAACAAAAAAAACUACAAAACUAUGAAGGCUGAAUGGAGUGGGUGGUUUUUACCUCUUCUAUGGAACAGUUCAACAUUCUUUUCAAUGACCAUCGUGCAUUUCUCUUCGUUUUUUGUUUUACUUUUCAUUUUCACUUUAUGUGACUCUCUUUCUUUCUACUGUUUUCUUUUUAUUUUUUUUUCUGUUUUUCAUUUAAAAACUGUAUACUCAGCUAAAAGCAUUCCAACUGAUUAUUUAACCCAAUGUCUCUCGCCUCUGCCGUUCCUAACAAUUGCACAUUCAGUUUAAAAGCUUCCAAAAGAGUGUUGUAUAACUUAAGAUACAAAAAGUCAAAAAGAUUAGUAGAUGGAGGCUAUAGGACGAGAGUAUGUACACUGUACAGUUAAAGACAAAAGCCACCAAAAAUCAGUGCUGGAAAGAUACAAAAUUUAAAUAUAGCAUUUCGGUUCAGGGAAUUAAAAUAGACCAAAAAAAAAAAAAAGACUCUGAAGACAGCAACAACAACAAAGACGAUUUUAAUGCACCCUCAGUAAGUGAAGCUACACAAGCUUUGUAGAGAAAUGCAAUUUGGAUUCUAUUUUUAGCUCAAUUCAAGAGCAGAUACAUCCAUAGCCAUUCUUAAGAUACAUUCAUAUGAUAUAUGCUUUUUUGUGAAAGAUACAUUUUCAACGACACGACGACGGGACGGAUGGACAGACAG